GCCCCUUGCUGAGGCGUGCUUGCGCGUGUCCGUUGUCGCCCUCACCCAGCUGCUGCGGCGGAGAAACGGAGGCCAGCGCGGGGAGCGGAAGCCGGAGCCUGUCGGGAGCGACCCCGGGAAGGCCAGUCCCUCCUGCCGGAGGGAGGCGUGUUGGCGUGCGGCCGGUGGCGGGAUCGAUGGCCACCUGGUAGGCGAUGCUGCUGCGGCGGAGAAACGGAGGCCAGCGCGGGGAGCGGAAGCCGGAGCCUGUCGGGAGCGACCCCGGGAAGGCCAGUCCCUCCUGCCGGAGGGAGGCGUGUUGGCGUGCGGCCGGUGGCGGGAU
rnacentral:lncRNA from 1 species